rnacentral:misc_RNA from 1 species
GGAAGGAUCAUUAACACUAAUCCACACACAACUCAACCUAGCCUUCAGUUGCAGCAGUAGCGCUUGCCUUGUGCAGUGCCGCUGGUGCAACCACACAAACCUAAUCACGCAAAGGAGCCUAACUAAGCUCAACAACAAAACCAAAUUCUCAACGAUGGAUAUCUUGGUUCCCAUAACGAUGAAGAACGCAGCGAAGUGCGAUAAGCAAUGCGAAUUGCAGAACCGUGAGUCAUCAGAUUUUUGAACGCAACUGGCGCCGGCUGGCUCUCCAGCCGGCAUGCUUGUUUCAGUGUCUCUUUACCUCCUCACCCAGAUCAUAAUGCGAGAGAUGCCCUUCUCUUGCCAAGCCUGAAAGCACUCUGCGCUCUGCGAGCGGCCUCGACUUGUCGAGGGUCGCACUCAAUGCAGCGGUCACAUUGCUCACAAUGUGAACUCAUUGAGAGCUGAGGCAGUGCAGCGUCAGCUGCCAGUGCUUAGUCACUCAAACUUUACUUGCAUCUGAAAUCAAGCAGGACCACCCGCUGAACUUAAGCAUAUCAAUAAGCGGAGGAGAAGAAAUUAACUAAGAUUGCCCUAGUAGCGGCGAGCGAAGCGGCAAGAGCCCAAACUGGAAAUCUUGCGCACCCCGUGCGCACGAAUUGUAAUCUAAAGGAUGUCCACUCAACGGGCAGUGGCGCAGAAGUGCCUUCGAACGGGCCGCCAGAGAGGGUGCCAGCCCCGUAUGUGGUGCCACCGCCUAACGAGUGGGUGUUCAACGAGUCGGGUUGUUUUGUAUUGCAGCCCUAAGUGGGAGAUAGACUUCUUCUAAGGCUAAAUAUAUAUGGGAAACCGAUAGCGAACAAGUACUGUGAAGGAAAGAUGAAAAGAACUUUGAAAAGAGAGUCAAAAGACUUGAAAUCGUUGAGAAGGAAGCGGUAGAAAUUUAUUCUUCGGCGGAGGUCGGUGUUAGUUGCCAAACCAUUGCCGGUUGUCAGCACUGCAAAAGGCUGCGGCUGGUACUUGGGGAAGCGGCUGGCUUGACCUCCGUCGUGAGGCAAAAUGGGGUCGCGCAACCGCAGAGGCUCUCGACGACGGGGCUGGUUCGCCGGUCAGCGUCGGGUGUGCCGGCGGGGGUGCGGCCUGAGGAUGCUUAGUGCGAUUUUGCCAAAAUGGUUUUUACCGACCCGUCUUGAAACACGGACCAAGGAGUCUAACAUAUAUGCGAGUGUGCUGGUGGAGAAACCAACACGCGUAAUGAAGGUGAGCGAUGCCAAGUCGCAAGAUGGCAGCAUCGACCGACCAUGAUCCUCCGGUGAAAGGUUUGAGUACGAGCAUAUCUGUUAGGACCCGAAAGAUGGUGAACUAUGCCUGAGUAGGGUGAAGCCAGGGGAAACUCUGGUGGAGGCUCGUAGCGGUACUGACGUGCAAAUCGUUCGUCAAACUUGGGUAUAGGGGCGAAAGACUAAUCGAACCAUCUAGUAGCUGGUUCCCUC